rnacentral:rRNA from 1 species
UACAGAGGUCCCAAGCGUUGUUCGGAUUCACUGGGCGUAAAGGGUGCGUAGGUGGUUUGGUAAGUCUGAUGUGAAAUCUCCGGGCUCAACCCGGAAAAUGCAUUGGAUACUAUCGAGCUAGAGGAUUGGAGGGGGGACUGGAAUUCUUGGUGUAGCAGUGAAAUGCGUAGAUAUCAAGAGGAACACCAGUGGCGAAGGCGAGUCCCUGGACAACUCCUGACACUGAGGCACGAAAGCUAGGGGAGCAAACAGG